rnacentral:rRNA from 1 species
UACGUAGGGUGCGAGCGUUAAUCGGAAUUACUGGGCGUAAAGUGUGCGCAGGCGGCAGAGCAAGUCGAGUGUGAAAGUUCCGGGCUUAACUUGGGAAUUGCGCUCGAAACUACUUUGCUGGAGUGUGGCAGAGGAAGGUGGAAGUUCCACGGUGAUUAUGCGGGUGGUAAAGUGAACGGUCAGAGAUGUGGAGGAAUCGAACCGAAGUCG